AUGCCUCACCCUGCUUUGGCUCGCGCACGGUGCGCGCACCCACUGACCUGUGCCCACUGUCUGGCACUCCCUAGUGAGAUGAACCCGGUACCUCAGAUGGAAAUGCAGAAAUCACCCGUCUUCUGCGUCGCUCACGCUGGGAGCUGUAGACCGGAGCUGUUCCUAUUCGGCCAUCUUGGCUCCUCAGGCAACCUCUUUUCUUUAUAAAUUACUCAAUCUCGGGUAUUUCUUCAUAGCAGCAUGAGAAUGGACUAAUACAAAGUCCUUUGGCUGGAGGCAACAGGAAAAAUUCUGACUAUCAUUUCCCAUGCUACCCCUCACCUUUCAAAUCCUUUACAAUAUGGGGAGCAGGAGAAAGGCAGAUCUUACUUGAGAGGACCGUGAGGGGAGCAAGGUCGAGAGUCCACAUGGAACCCCAAAAACUAGGAGAGCUAGAACAAGGACAUUUGAUACAAAAAGAAAAAUUACUGUCAUGUGAUGUGUGAUCCAUGAUACCGUCAUAGUUUUGUUUUGCUGUGCUCCACCUUCAUACCUUCGCCUAUGUUAGAACUUCUGAGAAGCUGAAGCAU
rnacentral:lncRNA from 1 species